rnacentral:rRNA from 1 species
UUAGGUCAAGUUACUAAGAGCAUAUGGUGGAUGCCUUGGCACGAAGAGGCGAAGAAGGACGUGGUAAGCUGCGAUAAGCCUCGGGUAGUUGCAAACAAGCGUUAACCCGGGGAUUUCCGAAUGGGGAAACCCGAUGCCGGUAAUGCGGCAUCAUCCUAUGGGUGAAUUCAUAGCCCGAAGGAAGCGAACGAGGGGAACUGAAACAUCUAAGUACCCUCAGGAAGAGAAAUCGAAGAGAUUCCCUCAGUAGCGGCGAGCGAACGGGGAAGAUUGCUCAAACCGGCCGACACGUUAAAGCAUGCGGGCGUUGUGUCGCCGGGGUAGCGGGAACAUCUCGGGAAAUCUGCAUAUUUCCCAGAGAGUUACAAAACAGCUGGUUAGGCGAAUGAUGUGGAAAUGUCAACCAUAGAAGGCGAAAGUCCUGUAGCCGAAAACUUGCUGCCUCUCGGAUGAAAUCCCAAGUAGGGCGGGUUAAGUGGAAUCCUGUCCGAAUCUGCCCCAACCACGGGGUAAAGCUAAAUACUACUUCGUGACCGAUAGCGAACCAGUACCGUGAGGGAAAGGUGAAAAGUACUCCUGACCGGAGAGUGAAAUAGAACCUGAAACCAUAUGCUUACAAGCUGUGGGAGCCAAACCGUAAGCCUUCGGGCUUACGCAGAGGUGACCGCGUGCCUAUUGAAUAAUGAUCCAGCGAGUUACUGUAUGUUGCAUGGUUAAGCCAGACACUGGCGGAGCCGAAGCGAAAGCGAGUCUGAAACGGGCGUUGGUAGCAUGCAAUAGACCCGAAACUGAGUGAUCUAUGCAUGGCCAGGAUGAAACUCAGGUAAUACUGGGCGGAGGUCCGAACCCACCAGCGUUGAAAAGCUGGGGGAUGAGCUGUGCAUAGGGGUGAAAGGCCAAUCAAACUCAGAGAUAGCUGGUUCUCCCCGAAAUAGUUUUUGGACUAGCCUCGUGUUAGAUUAACGGAGGUAGAGCACUGAAUGGGUUAGGGGCCCUACAAAGGUUACCAACCCCAAUCAAACUCCGAAUUCCGUUAACUCGAUGCACGGGAGUCAGGCAGUGGGGGAUAAGCUUCAUUGCCAAAAGGGAAACAACCCAGACCGCCGGCUAAGGCCCCCAAAUUCGGGCUAAGUGGCAAAGGAUGUGAAAUUACACAGACAGCUAGGAUGUUGGCUUAGAAGCAGCCACCAUUUAAAGAGUGCGUAAUAGCUCACUAGUCAAGUGAUUUUGCGCCGAUAAUCCCCGGGACUAAGCCCGGUGCCGAAGCCGCGGGAUUCCCCGACUUGUCGGGGGAUCGGUAGGGGAGCAUUCUGUAGUAGAUCGAAGCUCGGCCUUAAGGUCGGGUGGACGAGGCAGAAGAGAUUAUGCUGGAACGAGUAGCGAUAAAGGCCGCGAGAAACGGCCUCGCCAAAAGCCUAAGGUUUCCUGAGGAAGGUUAAUCCGCUCAGGGUUAGUCGGACCCUAAACUGAGGCCGAAAGGCGUAAGUGAUGGAAAAGCCGUCAAUAUUCGGCUACCACCCAAGAAGCGUUUGAGCUAUGGGGUAACGCAGGAGUGUAAGGUCAGCCACCUGUUGGAUUAGGUGGUUUAAGCCCGUAGGGAGUGAGGGCAGGCAAAUCCGCCCCCACAUAUCCCGAGAGGUGAUGAGGAGUCCGCAAGGACAUAAACUGGCCCCAAUCAUACUGCCGAGAAAAACCUCUGUGCAAGCUUCAAAGGUGACCGUACCGCAAACCGACACAGGUAGGCAGGGUGAAUAUCCUAAGGCGCUCGAGAGAACCCUUGUUAAGGAACUAGGCAAAAUAACUCCGUAACUUCGGGAGAAGGAGUGCCCCAUAGUACGUGAUCCCCCUGCGGGGUGAGCGGAAUGGGGUCGCAGAUAAAUGGCCUGGGUGACUGUUUACUAAAAACACAUGUCUAUGCUAAGCCGCAAGGCGACGUAUAUGGACUGACACCUGCCCGGUGCUGGAAGGUUAAGAGGAGGGGUCAUCCCGAUUCGUCGGGAGAAGCUCUGAAUCGAAGCCCCAGUAAACGGCGGCCGUAACUAUAACGGUCCUAAGGUAGCGAAAUUCCUUGUCGGGUAAAUUCCGACCUGCACGAAUGGUGUAACAAUUUGGGCGCUGUCUCAACAAGGGGCUCGGCGAAACUGUAGCAGCGGUGAAGAUGCCGUUUACCCGCAUCGGGACGGAAAGACCCCAUGAACCUUUACUGUAACCUGAUAUUGAAUCUUGGUAUAGUACGUGUAGGAUAGGUGGGAGACUAUGAAGCUGGCACGCUAGUGUCGGUGGAGUCACCGGUGAAAUACCACCCUUACUCUAUUGUGGUUCUAACCCAGACCCGUGAAGCCGGGUCGGGAACAGUUUCAGGCGGGCAGUUUAACUGGGGCGGUUGCCUCCCAAAUUGUAACGGAGGCGCCCAAAGGUUCCCUCAGGCUGGAUGGUAAUCAGCUUUAGAGCGUAAAGGUAUAAGGGAGCUUAACUGCGAGACACACAGGUCGAGCAGGUGCGAAAGCAGGGCUUAGUGAUCCGGCGGUUGCACGUGGAAGUGCCGUCGCUCAUCGGACAAAAGGUACUCUGGGGAUAACAGGCUUAUCUCCUCCGAGAGUUCAUAUCGACGAGGGGGUUUGGCACCUCGAUGUCGGCUCAUCACAUCCUGGGGCUGGAGAAGGUC